UAGGGCUGAGCAAUAUUUGGUUUUAAACCGUAAUAACUGACUAAACCGAUUUCAUUCGGUAAUUCGGUUCAGUUUAUUUAGUAAAACGGUUCGAUUUUAUUUUUUGAAAUUUUCGGAUUAAAAUCGGUUCAGUUCAGUUUUGAAAAUUAAACUUUCCGUAAAACCAAAUAGUAUAACUAUAUUUGAAGCUGAGUAAAACAUAACUUCCCCUCGUGUCUUAUUGGUAAAUUGAUUUAAAAUUGAAGGAGGUCAAGGCUUCGAAUCUCCAGAUCCACAUUUUGUAACCUUAGCCUCUUUUUUUUCUCAACUCUAAAUCUUAACCAUCCAUUUUUAUUAAAUUUGAGCCGGCAAUUCCAUGUAUAUAACCUUAGCCCUUUUUUUUUCUCUCAACUCCUAAAUCUUAACCAUCCAUUUUUAUUAAAUUUGAGCUGGCAAUUUCAUGUAUAUAUACAUUAUUUUAAGAUGAGAAACCUUAGAUAGAUUCUCCUUAUUUUGUCUGCCGCUUCCUCCUCCUCCAAUUUCAUCCUCUCUCUUCCCAAUAUUAGCAACCUGUUCUCCAUUGUUGAAAUCAAAUACAAGGAUUCAGCAUGCAACACCAUAGGCCUCCUAGCAUCACAGUAGCACAACUCAACCUUUUUUUUUCUCUCAACUCUAAAUCAUAACUAUCACUUUUAUUAAAUUUGAGCCAGCAAUUUCAUGUAUAUAUGCAUUAGCUAUAUUCUCUUUAUUUUCUCUGCUGCUUCCUCCUCCUCCUCCAAUUUCAUCCUCUUUCUCUUCCCAAUAUUAGCAACCUGUUCUCCGUUGUUGAAAUCAAAUACAAGGAUUCAGCAUGCAACGCCAUAGGUCUCCUAGCAUCAUAGUAGCACAACUCCAGGAGGCUUCUUGCGUCGCUGAUGUCACAGCUACAGGCAGCUUCUUGCAUUGCCGAUGUCGCAGCUCCAAGCAACCUCCAACAUGGCAGCAUCAUAACUCUAGGCAGCCUACAGCAUUGCCAACUCCACAUUGCAGCUUCAGCAUCGGAGCAUCACAGCUUCAAUUUGUAGAUACUUGUGUGGGUGCAUGUUUUUUUGUUAAAGAGUUCCUUGUGCAGUGAUAUUUGUAUUUCUUAUAUUGUGUUACUUUUUAUCCUAGAUGGGUUUAUAAAUAUUCUGUUGAUUUGUAUUUCCUUAUGUAAAUUUCAUUUAUCUCCCUUUGGAUUGGUAUUUGGUGUGAAAAUGCAAGAAAAAUAAGGGAAAAAAAAUAAGUCCAUCUUGUUUGGCUAGAGAGAAACCAAAAGAAAACCAGUGAAGUUUCUGAAAAAACGAUGGGUAAUUUCAGAACUGAAAAAGUGAAUCGAUUUCGAAUUGAAAAAUCGAUUCGGUUCAGUUCUGUUAAUUAUUUAAGUUCAAUUCGGUUUUUAUAUUUAUUGAAAAUCAAUUUUUGAUUUUUUUGAUUCAGUUUAAUUUUGAACCAAAUUGAGCGAUUGC
rnacentral:lncRNA from 1 species